rnacentral:rRNA from 1 species
GACGUAGGGCGCGAGCGUUGUCCGGAUUUAUUGGGCGUAAAGAGCGUGUAGGCGGCCUGAAAGGUCAGCUGUGAAAACUCGAGGCUCAACCUCGAGACGUCGGUUGAAACCAUCUGGCUAGAGUCCGGAAGAGGAGAGUGGAAUUCCCGGUGUAGCGGUGAAAUGCGCAGAUAUCGGGAAGAACACCCGUGGCGAAGGCGGCUCUCUGGGACGGUACUGACGCUGAGGUGCGAAAGCGUGGGGAGCAAACAGG